rnacentral:lncRNA from 1 species
GGAUCGUCCCCGCGUCCGGGCAGGUCUUCCCCCUGCCGGCUGAGCCGCCACGGACACUGCACCUUUGUGGCGCCGCGAGAACCUCCCAAACUUCCGUGGAACUGUCCGUCUGCCUCGCUGCCUCCUCAGCGGGGAGAUGGCAGCACUGCGCCAGACCACGGUCAGAAACUGCAAAAGAAUCCUGGAAAGAAAUUCACAAACUUGUGGAGGAACUGAUGAAGAGGUUCACAAACCCAAACCUGAAGAUCUCCAUAGUCACCUACUCUUCACAGAGCUACACCCAAAGGAAACUCACCACAGACAGAAAGAAAAUACAAGCUACUCUUAACGAACUGAAGGGAAUAAAACCUACGGGAGAAAACUUCAUGGAAACAGGAUUUAUAGAGAAGACUACCUUGUGGGAUUUGAGGUACAAGUCCCAGAUCCAAGCAACAUGGAGAAAUUUGUUUGCCAAUAUACUAUGGAUGGCAAGAGGUUCCCCGAUAGAAAAGCGGUUACUGUAACGUCAAAAUCUAUAAUUUGCCCUGGACAUAUACUUGAUACCGAAGAACAGUAAGUACCCCAGGUCAGGGGUCAGAUGGGCAUUUUUGUGGGAUGAACGUGGGCUGCCAAGCUAUGGGCAGUCCGUGUCUAAUUCAGGGAGGCCUCCAGGCAUCCUCAACACCUGCACUUGUUGGUGGUCCCCAGAGGCACUCAAGGAUUCCCUCAUCCCUGGUUCUGCUGAGGAAGUUAGGAUUCAGGAGAUGAUGU